CGUUCCCGGGCCUUGUACACACCGCCCGUCACACCACGAAAGUUGGGUGCAACCAAAAUCGGUAAUCCAACCCGCAAGGGAGGUAACCGCCAAAGUUGUGGCCAAUGAUUGGGGUG
rnacentral:rRNA from 1 species